CCAUUCAAUCCCAUCCCAUUCCAUUCCAUCCCGUUUUCCAGGAGGGAGGAAACUGGGAAUCGUUAGGACUUUUCCCACCCCGGGGCAGGGCUUUGCUGAGGGUUUUAUCAAAGAGGACUCGGUUCAAUAGUGAACAGUUUUCCAUCAUCAACCAGCAACAAGAAAACAGGUUUCCUAAAACAAAACUAUGUUCGACUUACAAAGAGGCAGAACAGCAUCUGUUUAACAUCAGCCAAUGCAACACUGAAGGAUAAUGAAGUCAACGUUUGAGGCCUAAAUCGUGCACUUUUUUGUCUUUAUGAGUAACUUCUUUGGUCAUCGUUGCUCUAUUAUCUUCUUGGCUGUGCAAUAAACCAGCACCUGAUAAAUGUUACAGAA